rfam:Exiguobacterium sibiricum 255-15, complete genome.
CGAUGAGGUAGAGGCGCGGUCUUGAUUAGUAUUUGGUCUGAGGAUGACAACAAAGACGAUCGAAGAAAGGUGAGACCGCCGAAGCAUCGUCAUGUGUCAGACAUGACGAUGCUGGUCGAACCGGGAAAGACCCGUUCGAUUGCCAUACGCGUAUUGUAUGGAGCACUCCAAUUCGG